AACUAUGUGCCAGCAGCUGCGGUAAUACAUAGGUCGCGAGCGUUAUUCGGAUUUAUUGGGCGUAAAGCAAGCGCAGGCGGACAGAUAAGUUUUGUGUUAAAAGCAGUUGCUCAACAAUUGUUUGCGCUGAAUACUGUCUGUCUAGAAUACGGUAGGAAGUUUUGGAAUUGAAUAUGGAGCGGUGGAAUGUGUAGAUAUAUUCAAGAACACCAGAGGCGAAGGCGAAAACUUAGGCCGCUAUUGACGCUUAGGCUUGAAAGUGUGGGGAGCAAAUGGGAUUAGAUACCCCAGUAGUCCACACUGUAAACGAUGGAUAUUAGAUGUUGGGGCUUGUGCCUCAGCGUUGUAGCUUACGUAUUAAAUAUCCCGCCUGGGUAGUACAUAUGCAAAUAUGAAACUCAAAGGAAUUGACGGGGACCUGAACAAGUGGUGGAACAUGUUGCUUAAUUCGAUAAUACACGAAAAACCUUACCAAGGUUUGACAUCCCCCGCGAAGCUAUAGAAAUAUAGUGGAGGUUAUCGGGGUGACAGGUGGUGCAUGGCUGUCGUCAGCUCGUGUCAUGAGAUGUUUGGUUAAGUCCCGCAACGAGCGCAACCCUACUCUCUAGUUAAUUGUCUAGAGAGACUGAACAGUAAUGUAUAGGAAGGUUGGGAUCACGUCAAGUCAUCAUGCCCCUUAUGCCUUGGGCCGCAAACGUGUUACAAUGGCGAGUACAACGUGCUGCAAACCAGCGAUGGUAAGCUAAUCACUAAAAACUCGUCUCAGUCCGGAUAAAAGGCUGCAAUUCGCCUUUUUGAAGUUGGAAUCACUAGUAAUCCCGUGUCAGCUAUAUCGGGGUGAAUACGUUCCCAGGUCUUGUAC
rnacentral:rRNA from 1 species